rnacentral:tRNA from 1 species
GCCUUAAUAGUUUAAUUACAAAACCCUGGUCUUGUAAACCAAAAAUGAAAUUUUUUUCUUAAGGCU